rnacentral:sRNA from 1 species
GGCUAGUCUCAAACUCCUGAGCUCCGGCGAUCCACCUGCCUUGGCCUCCCAAAGUGCUAAAAUUGUAGGCCACCACACCCGGCCCAGACCAAAUUUACUCCACUUUUUCUCCCCUUCUCACUACUGUACUUGACUAGUCUUUA